ACGCGGUGAAUACGUUCCCGGACCUUGUACACACCGCCCGUCAAGCCAUGGGAGUUGGGGAGACCUGAAGACGGUAACCGUUGAGGAGCCGUUUAGGGUAAAACCAGCGACUGGGGCUAAGUCGUAACAAGGUAGCCGUACCGGAAGGUGUGGCUGGAACACCUCCUUU
rnacentral:rRNA from 1 species